rnacentral:lncRNA from 1 species
ACCGCUCCACCAAAGCUGCUCUUCCGCCAGCUGUUUGAGAAGGAGUCGUCAACUUAUACCUACCUCCUUGCUGACAUCGCCCAUCCAGACAAACCGGCCCUGGUUUGUACUUUCAAAUCUCAACUCUGAACACACAAAUCUUAAUUUGUUAAUAUAUAUAACAUGAGUGCUGACUUGGGUAUGGAGAGAUACCUGAGGAGAGGUCGAAGAGUCUGGUUGAGGUUCGUUCUUUAGGGACGGAUUUUAGUUGGGGUGGACGGACCUUACGUUUGCCUCACGUCUGACUAGUGGACUUAGUUGAUGGCUGACGAACUCAACCCUUGACUUCUUUCAGAGAAGAGGGGAAGGCAGAUGCCUUUAAUGGACUAUGGUUGUGUGCUCAUGUCGGGCCCCAGAGUAGACACGAGCACAUGACGGACGAAAACAUGUCACAAUCAAAGGUUUCUGAAACUGAGAUGAGAGAGAAAGGGUGUAGAAACCUGAGAUUAAUUAGACAGACGAGUUUUAUAGAGUUUGUGAGGUGACUUGUUUGUAUUAUGAGUUAUAUAUAUCAUUUGUAACCUUCUGAUGUGCCUCUAUACAAGGUCAGACUUUCACGUGGUGUACUAUUUUUUUGAGUAUAUAUUUAUCACGAUUUUAUUCAAAAAAAAUUAAUUUUGGGUGUAUAUAUAUAUAUAUGAAUACGAUGCAGUUG